rnacentral:rRNA from 1 species
AAAUUGAAGAGUUUGAUCAUGGCUCAGAUUGAACGCUGGCGGCAGGCCUAACACAUGCAAGUCGAACGGUAACAGGAAGCAGCUUGCUGCUUCGCUGACGAGUGGCGGACGGGUGAGUAAUGUCUGGGAAACUGCCUGAUGGAGGGGGAUAACUACUGGAAACGGUGGCUAAUACCGCAUAACGUCGCAAGACCAAAGAGGGGGACCUUCGGGCCUCUUGCCAUCAGAUGUGCCCAGAUGGGAUUAGCUUGUUGGUGAGGUAACGGCUCACCAAGGCGACGAUCCCUAGCUGGUCUGAGAGGAUGACCAGCCACACUGGAACUGAGACACGGUCCAGACUCCUACGGGAGGCAGCAGUGGGGAAUAUUGCACAAUGGGCGCAAGCCUGAUGCAGCCAUGCCGCGUGUAUGAAGAAGGCCUUCGGGUUGUAAAGUACUUUCAGCGGGGAGGAAGGUGUUGUGGUUAAUAACCGCAGCAAUUGACGUUACCCGCAGAAGAAGCACCGGCUAACUCCGUGCCAGCAGCCGCGGUAAUACGGAGGGUGGUGCAAGCGUUAAUCGGAAUUACUGGGCGUAAAGCGCACGCAGGCGGUCUGUCAAGUCGGAUGUGAAAUCCCCGGGCUCAACCUGGGAACUGCAUUCGAAACUGGCAGGCUUGAGUCUUGUAGAGGGGGUAGAAUUCCAGGUGUAGCGGUGAAAUGCGUAGAGAUCUGGAGGAAUACCGGUGGCGAAGGCGGCCCCCUGGACAAAGACUGACGCUCAGGUGCGAAAACGUGGGGAGCAAACAGGAUUAGAUACCCUGGUAGUCCACGCCGUAAACGAUGUCUACUUGGAGGUUGUGCCCUUGAGGCGUGGCUUCCGGAGCUAACGCGUUAAGUAGACCGCCUGGGGAGUACGGCCGCAAGGUUAAAACUCAAAUGAAUUGACGGGGGCCCGCACAAGCGGUGGAGCAUGUGGUUUAAUUCGAUGCAACGCGAAGAACCUUACCUGGUCUUGACAUCCACAGAAGAAUCCAGAGAUGGAUUUGUGCCUUCGGGAACUGUGAGACAGGUGCUGCAUGGCUGUCGUCAGCUCGUGUUGUGAAAUGUUGGGUUAAGUCCCGCAACGAGCGCAACCCUUAUCCUUUGUUGCCAGCGAUUAGGUCGGGAACUCAAAGGAGACUGCCAGUGAUAAACUGGAGGAAGGUGGGGAUGACGUCAAGUCAUCAUGGCCCUUACGACCAGGGCUACACACGUGCUACAAUGGCGCAUACAAAGAGAAGCGACCUCGCGAGAGCAAGCGGACCUCAUAAAGUGCGUCGUAGUCCGGAUUGGAGUCUGCAACUCGACUCCAUGAAGUCGGAAUCGCUAGUAAUCGUGGAUCAGAAUGCCACGGUGAAUACGUUCCCGGGCCUUGUACACACCGCCCGUCACACCAUGGGAGUGGGUUGCAAAAGAAGUAGGUAGCUUAACCUUCGGGAGGGCGCUUACCACUUUGUGAUUCAUGACUGGGGUGAAGUCGUAACAAGGUAACCGUAGGGGAACCUGCGGUUGGAUCACCUCCUUA